rnacentral:rRNA from 1 species
GGGCGCUGCUAUACAUGCAAGUCGAGCGAACAGAUAAGGAGCUUGCUCCUUUGACGUUAGCGGCGGACGGGUGAGUAACACGUGGGUAACCUACCUAUAAGACUGGGAUAACUUCGGGAAACCGGAGCUAAUACCGGAUAACAUUUGGAACCGCAUGGUUCUAAAGUGAAAGAUGGUUUUGCUAUCACUUAUAGAUGGACCCGCGCCGUAUUAGCUAGUUGGUAAGGUAACGGCUUACCAAGGCGACGAUACGUAGCCGACCUGAGAGGGUGAUCGGCCACACUGGAACUGAGACACGGUCCAGACUCCUACGGGAGGCAGCAGUAGGGAAUCUUCCGCAAUGGGCGAAAGCCUGACGGAGCAACGCCGCGUGAGUGAUGAAGGGUUUCGGCUCGUAAAACUCUGUUAUUAGGGAAGAACAAAUGUGUAAGUAACUGUGCACGUCUUGACGGUACCUAAUCAGAAAGCCACGGCUAACUACGUGCCAGCAGCCGCGGUAAUACGUAGGUGGCAAGCGUUAUCCGGAAUUAUUGGGCGUAAAGCGCGCGUAGGCGGUUUCUUAAGUCUGAUGUGAAAGCCCACGGCUCAACCGUGGAGGGUCAUUGGAAACUGGGAAACUUGAGUGCAGAAGAGGAAAGUGGAAUUCCAUGUGUAGCGGUGAAAUGCGCAGAGAUAUGGAGGAACACCAGUGGCGAAGGCGACUUUCUGGUCUGUAACUGACGCUGAUGUGCGAAAGCGUGGGGAUCAAACAGGAUUAGAUACCCUGGUAGUCCACGCCGUAAACGAUGAGUGCUAAGUGUUAGGGGGUUUCCGCCCCUUAGUGCUGCAGCUAACGCAUUAAGCACUCCGCCUGGGGAGUACGACCGCAAGGUUGAAACUCAAAGGAAUUGACGGGGACCCGCACAAGCGGUGGAGCAUGUGGUUUAAUUCGAAGCAACGCGAAGAACCUUACCAAAUCUUGACAUCCUUUGAAAACUCUAGAGAUAGAGCCUUCCCCUUCGGGGGACAAAGUGACAGGUGGUGCAUGGUUGUCGUCAGCUCGUGUCGUGAGAUGUUGGGUUAAGUCCCGCAACGAGCGCAACCCUUAAGCUUAGUUGCCAUCAUUAAGUUGGGCACUCUAGGUUGACUGCCGGUGACAAACCGGAGGAAGGUGGGGAUGACGUCAAAUCAUCAUGCCCCUUAUGAUUUGGGCUACACACGUGCUACAAUGGACAAUACAAAGGGCAGCUAAACCGCGAGGUCAUGCAAAUCCCAUAAAGUUGUUCUCAGUUCGGAUUGUAGUCUGCAACUCGACUACAUGAAGCUGGAAUCGCUAGUAAUCGUAGAUCAGCAUGCUACGGUGAAUACGUUCCCGGGUCUUGUACACACCGCCCGUCACACCACGAGAGUUUGUAACACCCGAAGCCGGUGGAGUAACCAUUUAUGGAGCUAGCCGUCGAAGGUGAACC